GACACGCUGUGACUAGCAUAUCAAUAAGCGGAGGAAAAGAAACUAACAAGGAUUCCCCUAGUAACGGCGAGUGAAGCGGGAAGAGCUCAAAUUUGAAAUCUUAAAGGGUUUCCCUUUACGAAUUGUAGUUUAAAGAAGUGUUUUCUGUUGAGGUUUUGGUAAAAGUUCUUUGGAAUAGGACAUCAUAGAGGGUGAGAAUCCCGUAUUUGACCUUUACUUUCAACUUUGUGAUACACUUUCAAAGAGUCGGGUUGUUUGGGAAUGCAGUCCAAAAUGGGUGGUAAAUUUCAUCUAAAGCUAAAUAUUGGCGAGAGACCGAUAGCGAACAAGUACCGUGAGGGAAAGAUGAAAAGAACUUUGAAAAGAGAGUUAAACAGUACGUGAAAUUGUCAAAAGGGAAGCGUUUGACACCAGUGUUGUUUUUCUGAAAAUCAAUUAAAGAACUGUUUAUGCUAAGUUGUUUAGACUUUAUCAGCUAACUGUUUAGUUUUGAGCUUUUCUUUAAUGCACUUUUCAGUUAACAAGUCAACAUCAAUUUCUUUUGCUGUAAAAAAGCUUGAGGAAGGUGGCUUGAGAUUCGUCUUAAGUGUUUAUAGCCUCUUGCCUAUGCAGUCGGAGAGAUUGAGGUCUGCAGCGUAGAUCCUUCGGGGCUAAAUGCAUUUGUGCUAAGUUAUAGCAUUUUAUAGACAACUUGUUGACUAUGAUUUGUCUUGUAGCUUACUCGCUUAUGUUAUUUUACCUACGCUUAGGAUGUUGACAGCAGUAUAGACUGU
rnacentral:rRNA from 1 species